rnacentral:pre_miRNA from 1 species
GAUUGGUGACUAGUACUCCUUCUGAGUCCAACUUUAAUUGUCCGUCUUGUUUGAUUUUUUUUUAUGAUUAGCAUUUAUGUUAUUAGAUGAUAAUUGAUAAAACAUGAAUAAUAUUUUAUACAUGUCUUAUAUUUUUCUAUUUUUUUAAAAAAAAUAAAUAAUACGGAUGAUCAAAGAUAGGCAUAGAAAUUUAUAACCCCGCUUACA